rnacentral:miRNA from 1 species
CAUAGUAUUGUUUAAUC